AUUGAACGCUGGCGGCAGGCCUAACACAUGCAAGUCGAACGAGUGGCGGACGGGUGAGUAAGGUAUGGGACAGUGCCUGAUGGAGGGGGAUAACUACUGGAAACGGAAGCUAAAAACGCAUACCAUCGGAUGUGCCCAGAUGGGAAUAGGUAGUAGGUGGGGGAAAGGCUUACCUAGGCGACGAUCCCUAGCUGGUCUGAGAGGAUGCCCAGCCACACUGGAACUGAGACACGGUCCAGACUCCUACGUGAGGCAGCAGUGGGGAAUAUUGCACAAUGGGCGCAAGCCUGAUGCAGCCAUGCCGCGUGUAUGAAGAAGGCCUUCGGGUUGUAAAGUACUUUCAGCUGGGAGGCGUUACCCGCAGAAGAAGCACCGGCUAACUCCGUGCCAGCAGCCGCGGUAAUAC
rnacentral:rRNA from 1 species